rnacentral:rRNA from 1 species
AUGUCCAGCCGCCCCUCCUCUCCUCACACAGAACGGCGCAGCUCCCACCUUGAAGACCGACCGGCAGGGAGGACGGCGGCAGACGGCCGCGCGACGCGACCCCAUCCAGGCGGCGGGCAGGAACCACCGGCAAGCUGGAGCAUCUACCGUCGACCAGCUAGCCACCAAGCUCAAGCGGCAUCCAUCUGCCGCAAGUCUCUUCAGAUGGAUGAUCAAGGCAGGAUGAUAGACUUUGGUAUUCAAGGCCAUGAGUUCAGUCAAAGGACUACAAUACCUUGUCCAAAUAUUGGUCACCAUCAGGACAAUGGACUUGAUGACCUGGAGUUUACUCAAGGAGCUACAGGACAUCAAACAAAUAUUGGUCAGGGCAAUGGACUUGAUGACUUGGAGUUCAGUCAGAGGAUCAUAGGACGUCGUCCUAAUUUUGGUACGCUGCAGCGUUGUGAUGACCUCGACUUUGACCAAAGGAGUGCAAGGCAGCAUGAGGAUAGUGUUUCAAAGUCCAGAAAGAGUCUUCCUAGAGCCAAGUGGAGUCACCAAAUGAAGCUAUAUCUUAUUCAACAGCUGAAAGAUUUUAAUGUCCCAGGUUAUAGAACUCAGAAUGCAUGGAGUAAAGAGGCAUGGAAUAAGAUUGUGGAUAACAUAAACAAAAAGUUUGGCUUGUCACUAGAUGUUACCAAAGUGAAACAAAAGGAACAGGAUCUGAAGAAAGACUUCCGUGCUGUGAAAGAUUUGGCAGCUGAGAGUGGCUUUGGUUGGGACCGCCUCGGAAUGAAAGUUGUUGCCCCAGAUGCCGUAUGGGAAUCAUUUGCGGAGCGUCGUAACAAGGAUGCACUCAUAUGGAGAGACAAACACUUUCCAUAUUAUGAUGAUUUAUUUGCAUUGCAUGAAGGACGGUAUGCUGAAGGAAGGAAUAGGCUGCUAGGUAGUAUUUUGGCAUAG